AGUGAACGCUGGCGGUAGGCCUAACACAUGCAAGUCGAACGGCAGCACAGUAAGAGCUUGCUCUUACGGGUGGCGAGUGGCGGACGGGUGAGGAAUACAUCGGAAUCUACUUUUUCGUGGGGGAUAACGUAGGGAAACUUACGCUAAUACCGCAUACGACCUACGGGUGAAAGCAGGGGAUCUUCGGACCUUGCGCGAUUGAAUGAGCCGAUGUCGGAUUAGCUAGUUGGCGGGGUAAAGGCCCACCAAGGCGAGGAUCCGUAGCUGGUCUGAGAGGAUGAUCAGCCACACUGGAACUGGGACACGGUCCAGACUCCUACGGGAGGCAGCAGUGGGGAAUAUUGGACAAUGGGCGCAAGCCUGAUCCAGCCAUACCGCGUGGGUGAAGAAGGCCUUCGGGUUGUAAAGCCCUUUUGUUGGGAAAGAAAAGCAGCAGGUUAAUACCCCGCUGUUCUGACGGUACCCAAAGAAUAAGCACCGGCUAACUUCGUG
rnacentral:rRNA from 1 species